GAGAGUUUGAUCCUGGCUCAGGGUGAACGCUGGCGGCGUGCCUAAUACAUGCAAGUCGAACGAUGAAGCUUCUAGCUUGCUAGAAUGCUGAUUAGUGGCGCACGGGUGAGUAACGCAUAGGUCAUGUGCCUCUUAGUUUGGGGUAGCCAUUGGAAACGAUGAUUAAUACCAGAUACUCCCUACGGGGGAAAGAUUUAUCGCUAAGAGAUCAGCCUAUGUCCUAUCAGCUUGUUGGUAAGGUAAUGGCUUACCAAGGCUAUGACGGGUAUCCGGCCUGAGAGGGUGAACGGACACACUGGAACUGAGACACGGUCCAGACUCCUACGGGAGGCAGCAGUAGGGAAUAUUGCUCAAUGGGGGAAACCCUGAAGCAGCAACGCCGCGUGGAGGAUGAAGGUUUUAGGAUUGUAAACUCCUUUUGUUAGAGAAGAUAAUGACGGUAUCUAACGAAUAAGCACCGGCUAACUCCGUGCCAGCAGCCGCGGUAAUACGGAGGGUGCAAGCGUUACUCGGAAUCACUGGGCGUAAAGAGCGCGUAGGCGGGAUAGUCAGUCAGGUGUGAAAUCCUAUGGCUUAACCAUAGAACUGCAUUUGAAACUACUAUUCUAGAGUGUGGGAGAGGUAGGUGGAAUUCUUGGUGUAGGGGUAAAAUCCG
rnacentral:rRNA from 1 species